GAUGAACGCUAGCGGCAGGCUUAAUACAUGCAAGUCGAGGGGUAGCAAGAUUGUAGCAAUACAAUUGUUGACGACCGGCAAACGGGUGCGGAACACGUACACAACCUUCCUACAAGUGGGGAAUAGCCCAGAGAAAUUUGGAUUGAUACCCCGUAACAUAGCGAUGUGGCAUCACAUUGCUAUUAUAGCCUCGGCGCUUGUUGAUGGGUGUGCGGCUGAUUAGAUAGUUGGCGGGGUAACGGCCCACCAAGUCUACGAUCAGUAGCUGAUGUGAGAGCAUGAUCAGCCACACGGGCACUGAGACACGGGCCCGACUCCUACGGGAGGCAGCAGUAAGGAAUAUUGGACAAUGGACGCAAGUCUGAUCCAGCCAUGCCGCGUGAAGGAUUAAGGUCCUCUGGAUUGUAAACUUCUUUUAUAAGGGACGAAAAAAGGUCUUUCUAGAUCGUCUGACGGUACCUUAUGAAUAAGCACCGGCUAACUCCGUGCCAGCCGCCGCAGUAAGAC
rnacentral:rRNA from 1 species